CAUACUUAAAAAAUAAGUGAUGCAGUAUCCUAGUCAGCAUCACCUUUCUGAAGGCGGGCCUAAAAAUCCGUCAAGGGCACAUCGAUGAAGUUCCUGGUGCUGGCUUUUGACGCCCAGUUGGGGGCUGGUACUGGGAGUUAAGGGGAUGGGGCGACCUGCAACGGCAUGUGGGCAUCGACCCCGUCCCCGUGGAGACCCAAGUGCGUGGGGAGUCGGCAACGACAAACUAUGGCUUGGUUGUUAACCUGCAUGUGGUAGGAAGCUGCGUGCAGUGUAGCCUGACUUGAAGUGGCACUGGUGAAUUCCUCUGGUACAACAGCUGCCUACGGGCCCGUAAGCGGUUGUUGUGGGAUGAAACCUUUGCUGCAAAAGAGUCUAAGAAAGCCUGAUGCUGUUGAGGAAAACUCCUAGGCUGUCCGGUACACGCCGGGGCAGGUCAGGGAUUAAAGUGUGGACUAAGUGGUAAUCCAGCCCUGAGAGCGGCGACGCCUCUGAUAGGGUUUAAUGGGAAACCGCCGGUUUGGCGACAGCCGGUACCGCUAUGGGAAAACCUGCUGGACCUAAGCCACAACGUUUACCUGAUCUGCUACCACUUAUUAAAUUUACAUA
rnacentral:sRNA from 1 species